UAAAAUUUCUUCAGCAUACUUUCUCUCCAAAAAAGACAUCAUUAUUUUUAUUUUUUUAGUUAUGGAAAAAAAAUUUUUUUAAGUUCCGGGAUACAUGUGCAGAAUGUGCAGGUUUGUUACAUAAGUAUAUGCGUGCCAUCGUGGAGACAUCAUUUAUUUUUUAAGCACAAAAAUAAUUUUGGGUUAUAAUUCUUAGCAUACAGAGACACAGAUGCCUACAUUCUAAUGACUAAUAUAAAACCUUUUAUUUGGCAAUUUGGAAAUAAACACUUUUUAGAUAUUAACUUAUGAAAUAAGGUUACAGAAAAUUAUUCAUAGAAAAUAUUACACUAUAGAUAGAUUACUCAAAUCACUCCAAUGAAGUAAUUUAAUUGAGGUGUUCAUAAAGCAGCUCAGAGUCUGGGCACAAAAUAGAGAUCCGAGUCUUCAUUCCCCUAUAAUCCUGCGUGAGAUACUCAAUCUCUGCCUCUUCCUCAAAAGACCAUUAAGAACUAAACAAAAUAGUGUGGAAAGUGCUUGGCAAGGUACUUAUUAAGCAUUUAUGAAUGCUUUAUUAGUACCAAAUGCUUUUGUCAUCACAGAGUUUAAUUGUACCAAGAGAAAAAACAAAAAUUCUCCAACAGAGUGAUGACUGCUUUAAAUAGGAGAGUUGAUUCAUUAGUUUACAAAUACUAGUUAUCAAGUUUCAAACUUCAGACUAAACUUGCAUUGUUAUACUUUUGGGGCAAUAUUUACAGAGCUGUACCCAUGACAGAUAACACAGACAACGAAUAAUCUACCUUCAGCAAGGAAGGUCAGAAAACCCAGACUCAAGAGAGGCACCUGUGCUUCCCAAUGGCUCAUUUCCUCCUUGAACUGCAGCCUUCUUCCACCUAAGCCGGAGUAGACCCUGCCUUCAGUCCACCUCAGUAACCUCCAUGGACUUGGAGCACAGGCACUGCACUGACACAAACCUAGAAGCCCAGCGUCCCAAAGCCCAAGUUUGCAUUCAUCCCUCACCAAGUAUCAACCAUUCUCCCAAAGGCAGGUAAAUAUCCCAGACUUAAGCAUGAGAUCCUUAGGCCAAAAUGAACUGGGAAACAUUAAAAAAAAAAAUCUUAUUAAAGCAUGCCAUAAAUUCCACUUUUUACCUCACUGAUUAAAAUAAUCAAGAAAGAUAAAACAUACAUAGGUGUUAAUAUUAGGUUGGUGAAAAAGUAAUUGCAUUUUUUGCCAUAAAAGCAGUGGCAAAACUGCUAUUACUUUGCACCAGCCUAUAUUACUUUCAUUUUUUUUUGCACAUAAAGGGUUUAUUUUAAAUGUUUUAAGGAUAAGAUAGAG
rnacentral:lncRNA from 1 species